rnacentral:lncRNA from 1 species
CAAAAGACUGGGAAUGUUAUUCCAGAAUAAGGGUGGAUAAGGCAGAUAUGAACAUGCACAAGCACGCGCAAGCACACACACACCCAACCGUGCGGGCGGGAAUAUAAGCGCAGUUACCAGCUGAGGGCAGAAUCAGGGCUGUGUUUACUGAGCAAAAGCCAAGCACUGCUGUUCACAGACGCUCCAGCCACCAUGAAGGUGACAAGUGUGUUACUGGUGAUCGCUCUGGCCCUUUGCUGCAUCUCAGCUACUGGUGCAGUGCAGUUUGCAGCCCAGUACUGCAAUAACCAGCUGGCAUCCAGAAACUUCUGCACCAUGGAGUACAUGCCACACUGCGGG